CCGUUUGCGCGCGAGGAUUUCUAUUGCAGAGAAUGAAACCACCGUCACUUUCCGUCCGUGGUCUACUCCGGGGUCCCCAUCCCACGCCAUAUUCUGCUGAUGGAGAAAUGGGAUCUCAUCCAAGGAAAGUGACUUGCCAGGGUUACACCACUAGUAAGUGGAGACCUAUGACUUGAACCUGUCUCUAACUCCAGAGACUGUACUUUCUCUAAUUUAUGCUUUUUGGCAGUUCUUUCCUCUUCAUUUCCCCAUCUCUCCAAUUACACAUUCAUAUACACAUAAACACUCCGAUACCCUCAAACCACCAGAAGCCACAUCAGAGACUUGAGAGCUUUGGACCAGGAACUGAUGGAGACAAAGACGACCUAGGAAGAUGGCUACAUGGGGAAUGGAGGCAGAGAUUGGAGUUAUGUAGCCACAAGGGAAGGAACUCCUGGGGCUCCCAGAAGCUGGAAGAAACAAGGAUCCUUCCCCUAUAGGCUUUGGAAGGAGCGUGGCUCUUCAACACCUUGGUUUUGGACUUCUAGCUCCAGAAGUGUAAGAGAAUAAAUUUCUGUGAUCUCAUACUCAGUUCAUGGUGCUAUAUGAUGGUAGCCCUAGAAACUAAGAUACCCAGGUAUGUUGGAUGUAUGGGUCAGGCCCACACCCAGGGUGCACAGGGCCUUUGGUUAAAAAAUCUCUCAUUUCUGUGGGGAAUCCAUUGCCAGUGGUCUGGAUGGCAUGGCCACUGCCUUUCUUCAGGGAUGUGCACAAGACCCUGGCCUGGCCAAUCGGAAUACCUCAUGCCCAGGACCACAGUAAUUGGGUCAGGGGUUGUCAAGAUUUAUAUAAAUGAUUUACAUAAAAUGUUUAAAUGUUUUGUUAAAAUAUUUAAAAUAAAAAAUGUUUCUAAGA